AUCCCAUGAUGAAGACACUUAUGAAGUAACUUUUUGUAUCUCUCCCACCCCUCGUACAAGGACUCAUCAUCCAAUUGUUGAAAAGUGGUGAUCUGAUUUUUGCAACU
rfam:Gossypium hirsutum cultivar TM-1 chromosome 9, whole genome shotgun sequence